AACAGCCGAGGAACUCCGAACUCGAUAAAGGUCGCCAUUUUCUGGGCUAGUGGUGAAUGGAAGGGUAGUAAUUUUGUGUUUUCAAAGUCGAAAUCAAUAGUGUUGCUGAUUUAUUUAUGCAGGCUGUGUACAAAUGGCUUGUCUGAUAACUCUGAAACAAGAAAUAAAGACUUUAGAAGCCGUUUUCCCAAAGAAUCAUGAGAGGUUUCAGAUAGUGUCAGCUAGUGUGGACGAACUGAAUUGUCGAUUCGUCGGAAAGAAUGGAAAGAAGUACGACAUACACGCAAACAUAACCGAAACUUAUCCUUCUACCCCACCAGUGUGGUUUGCCGAGUCCGAAGAAACGAGUGUGACUAAUGCAGUUCAAAUACUGAGCAACACCUCGGGAAUGGAUAAUCACGUUCUGAAUCAAGUCAGCAUUUUAUUGAGAGAACUAUGCAGGUUGCACUGUGUACCUGAACCACCAGAUAUUGCACUGCUGAAAUUGCCUGGUCCUCAGGGCUCCUAUCGUCUUCCUGAUCGACAUGAUGAUGACAGGGAAAUGGAUGAUGAAGAUGAAGAUGAAGACGAUGAUGAUGGUGAUGAUCUGCAUCUUGACAUGGAUGAAGGAGAAAGUGUUGCUAAAAGCAAGGUGGAAGAGAUGGACACAGAACAUCUGGCAACACUUGAGAGACUUAGACAGAACCAGCGGCAAGAUUACCUUCGGGGUUCUGUUUCAGGAUCUGUUCAGGCAACAGACAGGCUAAUGAAGGAACUCAGAGAUGUGUAUCGCUCAGACAGCUUUAAGAAAGGGAUGUACAGCAUUGAACUCGUCAAUGAUAGCCUUUAUGAGUGGAAUAUUAGACUGAUGAGUGUUGAUCCUGAUUCACCACUGCAUAAUGAUCUGGUUCUCUUGAAAGAAAAAGAAGGGAAAGACAGCAUUCUACUCAAUAUGACUUUCAAGGAGGCGUAUCCUUUUGAACCACCAUUUGUUCGUGUGGUGCACCCAGUUAUUUCUGGAGGGUAUGUCUUGGUGGGAGGUGCCAUUUGCAUGGAGUUACUGACAAAACAAGGUUGGAGUUCUGCAUAUACUGUGGAGGCUGUAAUCAUGCAGAUCGCUGCAACGCUAGUCAAAGGAAAAGCCCGCAUCCAAUUUGGAGCCGCCAAGGUCUGUAACCAGCUAGCAGAAUGCGACUCGCCAAAUAAUUGUGAGCUGGUCCAGAUCCUAUAUACAAAACAGUGGCAGUUUGUGGUCACAUGAAUUGUUUGGUUCGUCCCAUAGGGAGAUAGCACCAAGAGCCAAUAUAGUCUCGCAAGAGCACAGCAGUCCUUCAAAUCCUUAGUUCAGAUCCAUGAAAAAAAUGGGUGGUUCACUCCUCCAAAAGAAGACGGCUAAUCGACAUAAAUUGUCACCUGUCUUGAAGUGACUGGGAAAGUGUAGACUGAUGAACAAAUACUUUCAAUUUUUUAAUGAACUGCGAUGAUUGCUGAGAACAGCUUAAAAAGCAACAAAUUGUUGCGUGUACUGAAAAAGUGAAUGUGACAAAUGGUGAUGUAACUUAUAAGUGUAGGCCUCUUACUUUUUAUGAAGGGCUCUUACAAAACAAUAUUUGCACGCACAGAAAUGUAUGUUGAGUGAUUUCAGUGUGUGAGUGACGAAAGUUUUGAGAGAAGUAACAAAUGUAUGUACGUGACUGAUUUUUAUGUGGCAUAGGCGUGAUGUAUAUGUAGUGCAUCUGAGGUGAACCAGAAUGCCCCUUGGAGACUGUACUGCUACCUGUACGCCCUAUUUUUGUGUUGCUGAUUUCUGAUUUCCCAUUAAAAUUUUUAUGAUAGCUGUGGCAUGGUAUUAAAAACUAAAGUGUUAAGAUUUGUUGUGAUAGUUGCAACAUUCCACACAUUUGGCGGCAGCUGGAGAGCCAGUUACAGUCUUUGUAAGAAACAUUACAACUGUAUAAAUCAUACUAUCUUGUAGCUCUCUGCUAUAAUCCUUAAUGCCUUGAAGGUUAUUUUUCAAUGUGUACUCCAGAUUAUUAGGUCAGUUCUUAUACUCAGUGACACUGAUAGAAAAUGUGUAACAGUUUGUUAUUAAAGAUUUUUGUGUGUAUGAUGCAGAUGAUUUGUUUAUUAUGUGUGAAAAUAAGAGAAAAUUUGUUUAUAAGAUAAUGUUGAAAGUUUCUUUAAAAAAAAAAAGCUAGACAAAUUAUAUAUGUUUGGCAGCUGUGAAAAUAAAUUUGUGGAUACAGUGAGGAGUUGUGGACAGCAAGAAUCUUUCCUCAUAAUCUUCUAAUGAAACUGAAAUAAAAUAAACCUAAUAAUCAGUGUUUUAA
rnacentral:misc_RNA from 1 species